rnacentral:sRNA from 1 species
UGUUAUUUAAGAAAUAUUUUUAGGCCUUUUUUACAUAUGCAUGGAUUGAUGUUAAUUGUUAAUGUUCUGACCCUUUGUUCUUCUGACAGUGUUUUAUUAAUAUAACAGUUUUUGAACUGAUCCCUUUAGCACCUGUGAAACUGGAAAAACAUCUGCACAGUGCUAGAUCUGAAGAGGGAAGACUAUAUUAUGAUGGUGAAUGGUAUAUACGUGGACAAACAAUAUGUAUUGAUAAAAAAGAUGAAUGUCCUACAAGUGCUGUAAUUACAACAAUUAACCAUGAUGAAGUU